ACACACUCUUGACAUUGUAUAAACAUGACCAAGGUGUCAUACGUCCCCGUGGUUUUCACGGUGCUUACGAUUGCGUUCCUUUUGUCCACGUUGCGAGAAGGUGUCCUUUGUGAGGAAGUGGAAGCUUUACGUUUUCCGAGGUUUAAAUUCAAACUGCCUCGAUUUAAAUUACCACCACUAAAAAUACCCAGAUCGGCUUUUCCCAAAGUUUCACUGGUAAAACCCAGUCUUUCUCCUCUCAGGAGAUUGCCCAUGCAACAUGUAAACCGUGCGGUGUCUUCUCUAUCUGACAUAGCAGCGAGUGCGACGCGAAUACACAUGGCGAAACAAGCCGCUCCACAGGACUAGACAAAUAAAAGGGAUAAUAAGAGCUGCGAAGAUGCCAUUUGGAAGGAAACGACUUGCUGCAAUAGCUUUCUCCGAGAUAAAAUGUAAAAUAAAAAAAAUCUACGCAUA